GAGUGAGUAUCCAAGCUGGUAAAGGAGCGGAGCUGCAACCUCCGUAUACAUGAGUUCGAAUCUCAUCUCACUCUCCA
rnacentral:tRNA from 1 species